GUACUGUGCGAACGUUGUUCGGAAUUACUGGGCUUAAAGGGUGCGUAGGCGGGUCAGUCAAGUCGGGGUGUGAAAUCCCUCGGGCUCAACCGAGGAACUGCGCCCGAAACUAAUUGGCUUGAGUGAGAUAGGGGUGUGCGGAACUUCCAGUGGAGCGGUGAAAUGUGUUGAUAUUGGAAGGAACACCGGUGGCGAAAGCGGCACACUGGGUCUCAACUGACGCUGAGGCACGAAAGCCAGGGGAGCGAACGGGAUUAGAUACCCCGGUAGUCCUGGCUGUAAACGUUGAGCACUAGACGGGAGGAGCUUCGGUUCAUCCGGUCGUAGCGAAAGCGAUAAGUGCUCCGCCUGGGGAGUAUGGUCGCAAGGCUG
rnacentral:rRNA from 1 species